AGGUAUAUUUAUUUAUAAUUAUGAAUAGCUAAAUUCAUAAUUCCCAACAAUCAUGAUAUGAUAAAAUAAAUUCAUAUUAGUUACUUUAUAGUAGAAUUAUUCGAAGAAUAAUAUGUUAAGAAGUUUAUUAACAAAGAGGAAACGGAGAAAGAUCCCUAAGGAUUAUGCCAUCCUAAAGGUGAAACCAAUGAGGCAAGAAGCUGUGGCGGGGAGUAACCAGAGUAGAGGCGCUGUUUAAGGGAAAAAGUAUCCAAACUACCAUGUUAAUAGUGACGGAAGAACAUAUUAUUUAAGAAUAAUCUAGUAUAUAGUAAGCUAAGAUGACUAUAUUUUAUGUACAUGGUUGAAGGGAAUAUUUUGAAAAAAGCAAAUUUAUGAAAAAUGAAUGAUAAUAUAUCUGAUGUGAUGGUAGAUAAAUUCAAAAUACUUAUUUUGUAUGCACUUAGAGAUAGAAAAGUAGCAGAUAUAAGAAAAAUCAUAUUAGAAAAAGCUUUUGGUGAAUAUUACAUGACUAGAGUAAAUUAUAUACCAUACCUA
rnacentral:lncRNA from 1 species